GGGCAGGGCUUCAGCAGUCAAGGCACCGGGAGCAAUCCUGGUGGCGAGUGGCGAACGGGUGAGUAAUACAUCGGAACGUGCCCAAUCGUGGGGGAUAACGCAGCGAAAGCUGUGCUAAUACCGCAUACGAUCUACGGAUGAAAGCAGGGGACCGCAAGGCCUUGCGCGAAUGGAGCGGCCGAUGGCAGAUUAGGUAGUUGGUGAGGUAAAGGCUCACCAAGCCUUCGAUCUGUAGCUGGUCUGAGAGGACGACCAGCCACACUGGGACUGAGACACGGCCCAGACUCCUACGGGAGGCAGCAGUGGGGAAUUUUGGACAAUGGGCGAAAGCCUGAUCCAGCAAUGCCGCGUGCAGGAUGAAGGCCUUCGGGUUGUAAACUGCUUUUGUACGGAACGAAACGGUUCUUUCUAAUAAAGAGGGCUAAUGACGGUACCGUAAGAAUAAGCACCGGCUAACUACGUGCCAGCAGCCGCGGUAAUACGUAGGGUGCAAGCGUUAAUCGGAAUUACUGGGCGUAAAGCGUGCGCAGGCGGUUAUGUAAGACAGUUGUGAAAUCCCCGGGCUCAACCUGGGAAUUGCAUCUGUGACUGCAUAGCUAGAGUACGGUAGAGGGGGAUGGAAUUCCGCGUGUAGCAGUGAAAUGCGUAGAUAUGCGGAGGAACACCGAUGGCGAAGGCAAUCCCCUGGACCUGUACUGACGCUCAUGCACGAAAGCGUGGGGAGCAAACAGGAUUAGAUACCCUGGUAGUCCACGCCCUAAACGAUGUCAACUGGUUGUUGGGUCUUCACUGACUCAGUAACGAAGCUAACGCGUGAAGUUGACCGCCUGGNGAGUACGGCCGCAA
rnacentral:rRNA from 1 species